CAGUAGCCGCGGUAAUACGAAGGGUGCAAGCGUUAAUCGGAAUUACUGGGCGUAAAGCGUGCGUAGGCGGUUUGUUAAGUCUGUUGUGAAAUCCCCGGGCUCAACCUGGGAAUGGCAAUGGAUACUGGCAAGCUAGAGUGUGUCAGAGGAUGGUGGAAUUCCCGGUGUAGCGGUGAAAUGCGUAGAGGUCGGGAGGAACAUCAGUGGCGAAGGCGACUAUCUGGGCCAACACUGACGCUGAGGCACGAAAGCGUGGGGAGCAAACAGGAUUAGAUACCCGCGUAGUCCCUGUCUCUUAUAC
rnacentral:rRNA from 1 species